ACAUACGACCAUAGCCAGAAGUCAGGUCUGGAUCCCGUCCGAUCUCCAAUGACAAUCUUCUGAGCGCCGUAUCAGUAGUUGGGUCGGUGACGACCAGCGAAUCCCCGGUGUUGUAUGUU
rnacentral:rRNA from 1 species